rnacentral:rRNA from 1 species
AUUGAACGCUGGCGGCAGGCCUAACACAUGCAAGCCGAGCGGAUGAGUGGAGCUUGCUCCAUGAUUCAGCGGCGGACGGGUGAGUAAUGCCUAGGAAUCUGCCUGGUAGUGGGGGACAACGUUUCGAAAGGAACGCUAAUACCGCAUACGUCCUACGGGAGAAAGCAGGGGACCUUCGGGCCUUGCGCUAUCAGGUGAGCCUAGGUCGGAUUAGCUAGUAGGUGAGGUAAUGGCUCCCCUAGGCGACGAUCCGUAACUGGUCUGAGAGGAUGAUCAGUCACACUGGAACUGAGACACGGUCCAGACUCCUACGGGAGGCAGCAGUGGGGAAUAUUGGACAAUGGGCGAAAGCCUGAUCCAGCCAUGCCGCGUGUGUGAAGAAGGUCUUCGGAUUGUAAAGCACUUUAAGUUGGGAGGAAGGGCAGUAAGUUAAUACCUUGCUGUUUUGACGUUACCAACAGAAUAAGCACCGGCUAACUUCGUGCCAGCAGCCGCAGUAAAAC